rnacentral:rRNA from 1 species
GACGAACGCUGGCGGCGCGCCUAACACAUGCAAGUCGAACGAGCGAGAGAGAGCUUGCUUUCUCGAGCGAGUGGCGAACGGGUGAGUAACGCGUGAGGAACCUGCCUCAAAGAGGGGGACAACAGUUGGAAACGACUGCUAAUACCGCAUAAGCCCACGGUGCCGCAUGGCACAGAGGGAAAAGGAGCAAUCCGCUUUGAGAUGGCCUCGCGUCCGAUAAGCUAGUUGGUGAGGUAAUGGCCCACCAAGGCGACGAUCGGUAGCCGGACUGAGAGGUUGAACGGCCACAUUGGGACUGAGACACGGCCCAGACUCCUACGGGAGGCAGCAGUGGGGAAUAUUGCACAAUGGGGGAAACCCUGAUGCAGCGACGCCGCGUGGAGGAAGAAGGUCUUCGGAUUGUAAACUCCUGUUGUUGGGGAAGAUAAUGACGGUACCCAACAAGGAAGUGACGGCUAACUACGUG